rnacentral:rRNA from 1 species
AUGGAUUACAACCUUCGCAUUGUAUUCUUGAACGUGCGUGGCCUUAAUGCCCCGGCCAAGCACACCGCCGUUCGCAGCGUGAUCACCGCUGCCUCGCCCUGUAUUGUUUGCAUCCAAGAGACUAAGAUGGCCUCUCUCUCGUCCUCGCUUGUCACUGAGAUGCUCGACUCGCCCUUCUCUGAGUUCUUCUUCCUUCCCGCGGAUGGGACCCGCGGGUGA